rnacentral:rRNA from 1 species
CUACGGGGGGCAGCAGUGGGGAAUAUCGCACAAUGGGCGCAAGCCUGAUGCAGCCAUGCCGCGUGUAUGAAGAAGGCCUUCGGGUUGUAAAGUACUUUCAGCGGGGAGGAAGGGAGUAAAGUUAAUACCUUUGCUCAUUGACGUUACCCGCAGAAGAAGCACCGGCUAACUCCGUGCCAGCAGCCGCGGUAAUACGGAGGGUGCAAGCGUUAAUCGGAAUUUCUGGGCGUAAAGCGCACGCAGGCGGUUUGUUAAGUCAGAUGUGAAAUCCCCGGGCUCAACCUGGGAACUGCAUCUGAUACUGGCAAGCUUGAGUCUCGUAGAGGGGGGUAGAAUUCCAGGUGUAGCGGUGAAAUGCGUAGAGAUCUGGAGGAAUACCGGUGGCGAAGGCGGCCCCCUGGACGAAGACUGACGCUCAGGUGCGAAAGCGUGGGGAGCAAACAGGAUUAGAUACCCGUGUAGUC